AUUGAACGCUGGCGGCAGGCUUAACACAUGCAAGUCGAGCGGGGUGAUGGUGCUUGCACUAUCACUUAGCGGCGGACGGGUGAGUAAUGCUUAGGAAUCUGCCUAUUAGUGGGGGACAACAUCUCGAAAGGGAUGCUAAUACCGCAUACGUCCUACGGGAGAAAGCAGGGGAUCACUUGUGACCUUGUGCUAAUAGAUGAGCCUAAGUCGGAUUAGCUAGUUGGUGGGGUAAAGGCUUACCAAGGCGACGAUCUGUAGCGGGUCUGAGAGGAUGAUCCGCCACACUGGGACUGAGACACGGCCCAGACUCCUACGGGAGGCAGCAGUGGGGAAUAUUGGACAAUGGGGGGAACCCUGAUCCAGCCAUGCCGCGUGUGUGAAGAAGGCCUUAUGGUUGUAAAGCACUUUAAGCGAGGAGGAGGCUUACCUAGUUAAUACCUGGGAUAAGUGGACGUUACUCGCAGAAUAAGCACCGGCUAACUCUGUGCCAGCAGCCGCGGUAACAC
rnacentral:rRNA from 1 species